GUCUACGGCCCUACCACCCUGAAUGCACCCGAUCUCAUCUGAUCUCAGAAGCUAAGCAGGGUCGGGCCUGGUUAGUACUUGGAUGGGAGACCUCCUGGGAAUACCGGGUGCUGUAGGCU
rnacentral:rRNA from 1 species